rnacentral:lncRNA from 1 species
UCCAAGCAGUGAUAAAAUAUGAUUCGACCAACUAAUCCGACCUGUAUUUGACCUGUCAUAAAUAAAUUUAGAUUUAGACUAAAUGAAUUUGAGUCAUAAAUAGGUUGACCCAUUUAACCCUUUAGUAUUUGGGUCGGAUUUAGGUUUCAGAUAUCUAAUUCGUUUAACUUGUUCGAUAUUCAAGUUGAAUUGAAUCAGAUAAUCU